GUGGAGUCAAUGUCAUUGCCGCUGUGGUUUCUAUUUACUAUGUUGAUAAAUUGGGAAUGAGACUCUUGUUUCUUGAAGGGGGAGUUCAAAUGCUCUUUUGCCAAAGAUGCAGGAGUCCAAGGCAACUGUCGGGCCAUUUGAGUGCACACAAGAUGCAUUGGACAAGAUGCCAUUUGAGUGCAUACAAACUAAUAAGGGUGGAACAACACUUUUGAAGUACUACUGAUGAAUUUAUUCAGGCUAAUAGGUUUUUUUGUUUCAAGUUUGAAUGAUGAAUGAUAGACACAAGUGAUAAAUCUAUUCAUUUUUCUAGGAGCAAAAUGUAGACAAAACACAUUGUUUGUGCUCCUUUUUUUUUUGGUGAAUUUCAAAGUUAAUUUUCACUUAGAUGUAUACAAAUGGUAGUGAUGGGGCUACUGGUUCUUACCUAUGAAGCUAUGGUUGCAAUGAAUUUUAUGGGAAGAGUUAGGCACGUGUAAUUUUGAA